CGGGACGGGUGAGUAACGCGUGGAUAACCUGCCUCACACAGGGGAUAACAGUUAGAAAUGACUGCUAAUACCGCAUAAGCGCACAGUACCGCAUGGUACAGUGUGAAAAACUCCGGUGGUGUGAGAUGGAUCCGCGUCUGAUUAGGUAGUUGGUGGGGUAACGGCCCACCAAGCCGACGAUCAGUAGCCGACCUGAGAGGGUGACCGGCCACAUUGGGACUGAGACACGGCCCAA
rnacentral:rRNA from 1 species